rnacentral:tRNA from 1 species
UGCGGGGUGGAGCAGUAGUAGCUCGUCUGGCUCAUAACCAGAAGGUCGUAGGUGCAAAUCCUACCCCCGCGA